rnacentral:rRNA from 1 species
UGUGUGUUAGUGGAAGCGUCUGGAAAGGCGCGCGAUACAGGGUGACAGCCCCGUACACAAAAAUGCACAUGCUGUGAGCUCGAUGAGUAGGGCGGGACACGUGGUAUCCUGUCUGAAUAUGGGGGGACCAUCCUCCAAGGCUAAAUACUCCUGACUGACCGAUAGUGAACCAGUACCGUGAGGGAAAGGCGAAAAGAACCCCGGCGAGGGGAGUGAAAAAGAACCUGAAACCGUGUACGUACAAGCAGUGGGAGCACGCUUAGGCGUGUGACUGCGUACCUUUUGUAUAAUGGGUCAGCGACUUAUAUUCUGUAGCAAGGUUAACCGAAUAGGGGAGCCGAAGGGAAACCGAGUCUUAACUGGGCGUUAAGUUGCAGGGUAUAGACCCGAAACCCGGUGAUCUAGCCAUGGGCAGGUUGAAGGUUGGGUAACACUAACUGGAGGACCGAACCGACUAAUGUUGAAAAAUUAGCGGAUGACUUGUGGCUGGGGGUGAAAGGCCAAUCAAACCGGGAGAUAGCUGGUUCUCCCCGAAAGCUAUUUAGGUAGCGCCUCGUGAAUUCAUCUCCGGGGGUAGAGCACUGUUUCGGCAAGGGGGUCAUCCCGACUUACCAACCCGAUGCAAACUGCGAAUACCGGAGAAUGUUAUCACGGGAGACACACGGCGGGUGCUAACGUCCGUCGUGAAGAGGGAAACAACCCAGACCGCCAGCUAAGGUCCCAAAGUCAUGGUUAAGUGGGAAACGAUGUGGGAAGGCCCAGACAGCCAGGAUGUUGGCUUAGAAGCAGCCAUCAUUUAAAGAAAGCGUAAUAGCUCACUGGUCGAGUCGGCCUGCGCGGAAGAUGUAACGGGGCUAAACCAUGCACCGAAGCUGCGGCAGCGACGCUGAUGCGUUGUUGGGUAGGGGAGCGUUCUGUAAGCCUGCGAAGGUGUGCUGUGAGGCAUGCUGGAGGUAUCAGAAGUGCGAAUGCUGACAUAAGUAACGAUAAAGCGGGUGAAAAGCCCGCUCGCCGGAAGACCAAGGGUUCCUGUCCAACGUUAAUCGGGGCAGGGUGAGUCGACCCCUAAGGCGAGGCCGAAAGGCGUAGUCGAUGGGAAACAGGUUAAUAUUCCUGUACUUGGUGUUACUGCGAAGGGGGGACGGAGAAGGCUAUGUUGGCCGGGCGACGGUUGUCCCGGUUUAAGCGUGUAGGCUGGUUUUCCAGGCAAAUCCGGAAAAUCAAGGCUGAGGCGUGAUGACGAGGCACUACGGUGCUGAAGCAACAAAUGCCCUGCUUCCAGGAAAAGCCUCUAAGCAUCAGGUAACAUCAAAUCGUACCCCAAACCGACACAGGUGGUCAGGUAGAGAAUACCAAGGCGCUUGAGAGAACUCGGGUGAAGGAACUAGGCAAAAUGGUGCCGUAACUUCGGGAGAAGGCACGCUGAUAUGUAGGUGAAGUCCCUCGCGGAUGGAGCUGAAAUCAGUCGAAGAUACCAGCUGGCUGCAACUGUUUAUUAAAAACACAGCACUGUGCAAACACGAAAGUGGACGUAUACGGUGUGACGCCUGCCCGGUGCCGGAAGGUUAAUUGAUGGGGUCAGCGCAAGCGAAGCUCUUGAUCGAAGCCCCGGUAAACGGCGGCCGUAACUAUAACGGUCCUAAGGUAGCGAAAUUCCUUGUCGGGUAAGUUCCGACCUGCACGAAUGGCGUAAUGAUGGCCAGGCUGUCUCCACCCGAGACUCAGUGAAAUUGAACUCGCUGUGAAGAUGCAGUGUACCCGCGGCAAGACGGAAAGACCCCGUGAACCUUUACUAUAGCUUGACACUGAACAUUGAGCCUUGAUG